GCUAAAAUCUCUCUACACUCUCAGCUCUUGAUGGAUAGCCUAUGUAAUUAAUAGAUAGGACCCUCAUGUACCAUGAGGUGAUACCACUCAUCCAACUCAAGAAGGCCAAAAGAUUAGACAUGAUCUUUAAAGAUAUUCAAAUCCUCCACUUAGUAUAUUGCCAGUAACGACCUCCUCACUCCACGGGAGUGAUUAAAGGCUAGAUUAUCUCGUCUAUAAUAGUAUGUGUAAUGGUCCUGCAAUCUCGGGAUCAUCCAAUCAUACAACUAUUUGACCAGCUGUCUAAUAACAUUCUAUAUAUACAACCAAAGCCUCGA
rnacentral:lncRNA from 1 species